rnacentral:tRNA from 1 species
GGCUCGGUAGCUUAGUUGGUAAAGCGCUCGUCUGGCAUAAAAAAGUGCUGGGUUCGAAUCCCAGCUAAGCAC